GCAAACUUGGUCAUUUAGAGGAAGUAAAAGUCGUAACAAGGUUUCCGUAGGUGAACCUGCGGAAGGAUCAUUAACGAAUUAAUCGAGGUUGUGCUGGUUCUUACAAGUGCACACCUCUUACAAUUCCAUUCACACCCUUGUGCACUCUAAGAGACGUAUCUCCCCCGUUUACGUGCCUUCAUUGGCUUGGGAUUUCGUCUGUUUAACACACUCUUUAUUGUAAUAGAAUGUAAUUCGGCGGAAACGCCUAAACUUAUAAUAUAACUUUCAACAACGGAUCUCUUGGUUCUCGCAUCGAUGAAGAACGCAGC
rnacentral:misc_RNA from 1 species